rnacentral:rRNA from 1 species
AAUAUGGGACAUUGGGCGCAAGCCUGAUCCAGCCAUGCCGCGUGAUUGAUGAAGGCCCUAGGGUUAUAAAUCUCUUUCACCGGUGAAGAUAAUGACGGUAACCGGGCAAGAAGCCUCGGCUAACUUCGUGCCAUCAUCCGCGGUAAUACGAAGGGGGCUAGCGUUGUUCGGAAUUACUGGGCGUAAAGCGCACGUAGGCGGACAUUUAAGUCAGGGGUGAAAUCCCGGGGCCCAACCCCGGAACUGCCUUUGAUACUGGAUGUCUGGAGUAUGGAAGAGGUGAGUGGAAUUCCGAGUGUAGAGGUGAAAUUCGUAGAUAUUCGGAGGAACACCAGUGGCGAAGGCGGCUCACUGGUCCAUUACUGACGCUGAGGUGCGAAAGCGUGGGGAGCAAACAGG